CGUGUAGGCGGUUUCGUAUGUCUGACGUGAAAGCCCCGGGCUCAACCCGGGAAGUGCGUUGGAAACUGCGAGACUAGAGUCUCGGAGAGGAAGGUGGAAUUCCAGGUGUAGCGGUGAAAUGCGUAGAUAUCUGGAAGAACACCGGUGGCGAAGGCGGCCUUCUGGACGAUGACUGACGCUGAGACGCGAAAGCGUGGGGAGCAAACA
rnacentral:rRNA from 1 species